AGAAUCUGGUUUUACUUCAACUGAGUAGUUUUAAGAGCGAUUUUACAAGAGGAUAUCUAUACAUUUACAUAUAUAUAUCUUACUAUCAUUGCAGAGAGCCAGAGGACACUAGGAAUAUGCGCAAACUUACCGAUUUAUUAUAUGGGCGUGGCGCUACGAAGUUCGAGACCAAUGAAUCGUUCCAGCUGUUAUUUCAAUGUUGGUCUCUGGUUGGUAUUAAGCCGUUAAAAUUGUACAGAUUGCGAGGCAUGCUGCACAUGUGCUUCUGCUGGGCUUUACUGCUCCUGUGUCCGUUUACCUUCUUCAUGGGUUACCUGCAUACAUUGGAAACUGAACCUAUAACUGUUCAACUAAACAUUUUGCAAGCAAUAUGCAAUAUUAUUGGACUGCCACUCAAGGCGAUUGCCAUUACUUUGCUCGUUUGGAUGCACGCUACCAGAGCGUCGCGAGUCGCGAGCAGAUAAAAAAUUGUGUUGUCGUUAGCACACGUCUGCUCGCCAGCGUAGGGUUUAUGUUUCAUUUUUACGGCAGCACCGCAUAUCUUCAAGCUCUUCUCACAAGAGGUUAUCCUAUGGGCGAAUGGUUGCCGUUCAUUGAUUAUAUUCCUCGGCUAACCAUAAGAUAUUGGGCGCAUUUCAUCUUCGAAGUUUUUCACGUGACUUUCCUAUUGACGGUGCAAGCCUCAAUGGAUGCGUUUCCGGCAGUUUAUAUACGAAGUUUACGCACACACCUAAAACUGUUGACGGAACGCGUCAGUCAUUUGGGCGAGAAUCCAGAGUUUACUGAUGAACAGAACUAUGAAGAAUUAGUGGAUUGUAUUGUUACGCAUCAGGAAUUGUUGGAGGCGAAAAAUAUCCUUGGGUCCGUCUGCUCGCUAACACUAUUUGUUCAGUUUGUUGUUGUUGCCGCAGCUCUCUGUGUUUCUAUGCUAAAUUGUUUCGUGUUUGCCGAUCGCCAACAACAGGUGGUGACGGCAAUCUAUUAUUUCGGCGUUAUAAUGCAGAUCAUGCCUACUUGCUAUCAAGCAUCAAUGAUAGAAGCUGACAGCGCCAAGUUGCCUGAUGCCAUUUUCCAUAGUAAUUGGUUGGCCAUGGACAAGCGUUCCCGCAAGCUCAUCGUCUACUUCAUACAUCGUGCUCAGAAGAACAUUACCUUUGUUGCACUCAAAUUCUUCAACAUCAAUCUGACAACUAACCUGUCGAUUGUCAAAUUUGCGUUUUUAUUAUACACAUGGAUGAGCAACAUGGGCUUUGGGGACAAUUUUAAGGAUUUAUUGGAGUAAACAGGCGUGUUGUCAGCAAACUAGCGAUAACCGACAACGCCAAGUUGUGCUGGGGCUUGGAUGAUGUUGAUAUUUGAUAAAAGUCGGAAUUGGCUUACUGGUAUUAUCCACUCAUAUUAGACAUUGGAAAUAGCGUUUGUCUGGGACCGAUGCCCUAUUUAAUUUAUUUAUAAUAAUUUAUUGAACUUAUAAUAACACUGAUUGAAUAUUUAUGGCAUUCUAAGUAGAACAAAAUACACACAUUUGCAACAAAA